UUUUAGCAACAUCUAUGCAAAACUGUUAACUGCUACCUAAAAUGAUAACGAUUAUUAAAGUUGAUUAAAAAUAAGAUAUCGUCAACAACAAUUUUAAAGAAGAAUGUAGGACGAAGUGAACCACUUCCUAAGUGAACCAGGACUAAGUGAACCACUUGGCAGUGUGCCAUCACACAAUAGCCACUAUAUAAUACAUAUGUGGUUCACUUGGUCCUGAAAUGGUACACUAAGGAACUGGUUCACUUGUGAAAUGGUUCACUUCGUCCUGCACCCUUUAAAGAACUAGCAAGUAUUAUUUAAACAUGGUUUGUGUUACGACUAUUUAUUUAUUCAAUUCAUUAUGUUACCGGGCGCUUAUCGUUGGGGUUAAAUGAUCACUUGAUAAGCAGUGUUGAAAUCAAUAUAGUCUCUCAUCCUGGAUGUUUGAUCGAAUUGCAGAACACGAUGUAUCUCUUUAAUCUAGAGACCCAAUUGUGUCAGUGGAAGGUCGUUGUGUAGAUCAUGAAGAUGUUCAGGAUAUCGCAAACUCACUUCAAGGAUAUACCCCUUUGAACCAUCAACAGAAAAGGUUGUGACUCAGCAGGGUAUAGAGAAGCGAUUAUGCUGUAUAGGAAUCACUUCUGAUCAGAGUUUUCAAUAUUCAAAAUGCAGUUUGAUUUUCGCAAAGUUGAAGGCAGCUCCAUAUAGCUAGAACCCUUUAUUGACAAUGCAACUCGUCCACCAUGUUGUGUAUCUUGAUGCAUUUUGCUAACAUGAUCAACAAGAUCUCGUUUCCAAUUUAUCAGAACCAGUGGGAUAUUGUAAAACAAGCCCAUCAAGAAAUCUAUCCUGAGACGACAUUGUGUGAGAAAACGAUGGUAGUCUGAUGUGGGAGGAUGUCUGUGCGCAACUUAUAACUAGGGUUGCUGUGUGGUGAAAUAUCCACAAAUUGCCUACAGACAUGAGAUCAGCAUCAAACUGUUCAUCAAUAGAAGACACUCGUACUUGGGCCAUUCUAAACUUUCGACGAACCUGUUUGGAAGUAGCAUAACUAGUUUGUUUAUCCAACCAUUGACGAAUGAACUGUUUUGUGAAUAGUCCUGGAUAUUUUUUAUUCAAUAUUGCAUAUAAUGUUUGUGAUCCUCUGUAUGAUGCUAUAAUUGAACUAUUAAAAUAACAGUUUUUUAA